UGUAGUAGAGGAUCAACUGCAGACUGGCUCCCCUUCCUCUCCUCUCAACCAAACUCCAGAGCUCUACUUUUAUCCCGUUAAAGAUCCACAGAGCACCAUCAUGGAGGACAUGGACUUUGAGCGGCGCCGGGAGCUGAGGAGGCAGAAGCGGGAGGAGAUGCGCCUGGAGGCUGAACGCAUGCUCAGGAACGAUGACGACGAGGAGGAGGCGGCCCGGGAGAGGAGGCGCAGGGCGCGUCAGGAGAGGCUGAGGAACCGGGAGAGCGAGGAGCCCAGCAGCCAGCCGGACGGCACCAUCAUGACCAACAGCCACAGCGUGACAGAGUCCGUCUCUGUGAGCAGCUCCUACGGCGGCGGCGGGGACGACGAGGAGCAGGCCUUGCAGGAGCGCAUGGCCAAGCGCGAGGAGAGGCGGCAAAGGCGCAUGAAGGAGGCGCUGGAGAGGCAGAAGCAGCUGGAACCCGCCGGCGACGGCGUCGGCCCGGAGAAGAACAGCACAGAGGAGGAACGGCCCUCCCGGCGCAGCCGCCGUUACCGUGACACCGUGGAGGACGAGGAGAAGACUGAGAGUAGCAGCUCGAGGCGGGAGGUGAGAGAGCAAGAGGAACCUAGAGAGGAGGAAGAGGAGCCUGCUCCUGAGAGAGAGGAAGAGGAGGAAGAGGAGGAGAAAGUUGAAGUUGUGGAACCCAAACCAAGAAGGUCUAAUCUGAGAGAACAGGCAUCAGCAGAGGAGACUGUAAUGCAACACAAGGAUCUCAUUGAAGACGAAACCCAUUCGGUAGUCAGUGAGAGUUCAAGUCAGGCCAAGUCAGCAAACUCCGAGGCUGAGGAGGAUUCAGUAGCAUCAGGGGAGGCUGAAGAGGUGAACGAGAGGGAAGAGUCUGAGGAGGAUCAGAGGAAACAUAACGGAGGACUGCAUGAUGAGGCGGCUCCCAAACAGCACAGGAAACCCGAGAGGACCCUCAGCCGUGGCAGCGUCCGUUCCCCCGAGGUGUCCGCCAGCGACGAGCAGGACGACGACGCCCGCCUGGAGGCAGAGCGGAAGCUGGAGGAGCUGAAGCGCCGGCGCGAUGACGCCGAGAGCGAGGAGUUCGAGAGGAUGAGGCAGAAGCAGCAGGAGGCCGAAGCCGAGCUGGAGGAGCUGAAGAGGAAGCGGGAAGAGAGGAGGAAGGUGCUGGAGGAGGAGGAGAGGCAGCGGAAGCAGGAGGAGGCCGAACGGAAAGCCAGAGAGGAGGAGGAGAAGAGGAAGAUGAAAGAGGAGAUUGAAAGGAGACGGGCCGAGGCUGCGGAAAAGAGGCAGAAGGUGGACGACACCGUGGACGGGGAAGGGAAACCGUUCAAGUGCUUCAGUCCUCGAGGCUCUUCUCUCAAGAUUGGAGAAAGAGCAGAAUUCCUGAACAAGUCGGCACAGAAAAGCUCUGUGAAGGCGUCUCAUUCUCCUGUGGUGUCCAAGAUAGACAACCGGCUGGAGCAGUACACCUCAGCUGCUCAGCGAGAGAACAAGGAGUCCAAAUCCCCUCGCUCCACCGUGUUGGAUCUUCCCAUGGUCACUGACGUACGAAACAUUAAGAGCAUGUGGGAGAAAGGCAACGUGUUCAGUUCACCUGGAGGUGCUGGAAGCACUUUUAAGGAAGCAGCUGUUAUAAAGACGGGCGUGGCGGGCCGCAUCAACGACUGGCUGAAUAAAACCCCAGAGAGCGGCAAGACGUCAGGAGGAAGGCCAACGGACCUGAAACCCGUUGAUGUCACCAACAAGAGGAGUCUAUGGGAAAACAAAGGCGCCACUCCAACAAAGAACUCUCACAGCUAGUUGACCUCGGCAUUCAAUCUGGAAUAAGCCUGGAGAGAAAGAAAAGUGUGUGUCGAGGAUAUUCUGCAAAGUGUCUCGGUCAGUUUUUCAUACUUGGGCAACAGCAGACCCGUCUGCUGUAAUGAGUUCUGUGGUCUGGGCUGUGGAGAAGCAGGGUAGUGGUUAGCAAGCUCAUUGUUAGCUUACAGUGUGAUGUAAGGAAAAAUGGUUCAACUGGAGAGGUGGAUGUAUUUUUGUAGUAAGUAGUUCCAGGUAUGUUUUUAUUAAAUUUCCAUGUCUUUGCUGCUUUAUAACCUUCAGUUUGUUGUGAUUUUUUUUCCAGAUGGCAGGCAGAGGAGAGACCAAAUCAGUCGCUAACGGUAUGGGACACUAAUGUCUUAAAGGAGCCACUAAAGCUGGGGACCACGACAAUCCAAGAUUCUACCUUUUGAACAAUUUUAUUUUUUUUUCCCCCCCCUAAGAACCAAAUAACGACCAGAUCCCUACGAGGAGUGACGCCACACUGUACUGAAAACACCUCCUGCAUUUUUGCCAAGUGUAGUACUUUUUGCACAAUGGGUUAGGUUCUGAAAAUAACAGAAGAGGGGGGGGGAAAAAGAAAAAGAAAAACGCUGUGAAAUUUGGACAUUUUUAGACCUGAAUGAGUUCCCAAUCAGCAUUUUAGAUUUUUAGAUUCCUCCACUUUUUAAGUUCCUCCCCGUUCCAAAUAAGACGAGUGAAACCAGAUCUCUCCCUCUUACAGCUUACUUUCCAUCUCUCCUUAAUUUUUUCUGUUUUUUUUUUUUUUCUUUUUUAAUUUAUAUUUAAAGAGACGGCUUCACACAUCGCUAUUUUAUACUCAGCAGCCACCAGUUCAGGAUAGAAAUGUAAGCACUUCUAGAUUUUAGCGGAUUUCACUUGUAUUAAUUAUGUCUUAACAAUAGCAGAGGAAAGGUCUGAGUAAUAUAAGUUAGCACAUGUGACGUUUUGAGUAUCAUUGUAUCAUGUAUAACAUCUCUACGCUCCUAGAAGGUAUUUUUUGCUUUUUUUUUUUUUUUUUUUAAUUUACGAUGGAAAACUUCACCAACAGACGGUUAAUUGUGAAGGUGAAAGGAUUACUGAAUAUUCAGAAGGCCAUUAUGACUUAUUAUUAUCCUUUAUGUCAUUUUAAUUUAAGUUUUAAUGUGGUUUAUCGUAUCUGGCUGUUAUGUAUUUUUUUUUUCUUAAAAGCUUUUGUUGAUCACUUUGUACAGCACUGCGAAAAGUGUUUGCCUCCUUACUGAUUUCUCCUGAUUUUUAUUAUUAUUGUCCCACUUAAAUUCCUCACAUCAAACACAAAUUGUAAGUAAAGGUACAAAAUGAAUUUUCCAAGCAGUGAUAUCAUUUUUAUUUGUAUUUUUUAAUUUGGGGUAAAUAACCUUAUCCAAACCCAAAUUGUCCCUAUGCAAAAAUGUAAUUUCCCCCUUUUUAUGUCCUUAUUUAUUUAAGUGCGACAAAGAGAGUAAAAAAAAAAAAAAAAUGGAGCAAGUCUCUAAGGGGGGACAUCCGUUACCGCAGUGCUGUGAAAAAAAAUAACGAUAAAAAAAAAAAAAUCUUCCUACAUUCCUGUUUGAAAAGCUCGUGGUGCCUUCGCUGCUUUGAAGCUGUGCUAUGUACGGAAACUGUGCAAAGAAGACCAAGUUUUGUAUUCUGCCUUUUACAGUAAUCUCUUCCACGCCUCUUCUGCUCGAGCAAUGUAACGAGUUAGCAGUUUAAGGAUAUUUACCACUAUGUAGAACCUCUCGCCUUCCGACCGCAACAGAAGAUGAAAGAAUCUCAACAAAGAUUCUGUGAUUCUUUUUUUUUUUUUUUUACUUUUCUCUCUGACAUGUUAUGUAGCUCAUAUCGUCGGCGCGGCACAAGCUUUGAUUAGUACAUGAUCGGUUUGUCGGGGCAUUAAAUUGAUUAACGUUACUGCUCAACAGUCUGACAAUCACAUUCCUGUGGCUCCUCUAAAAAAGCAGGGGGCUUGACCAAAAUAUUUUAUAAAGAGUGAAUUAAUGUGACAUUUAUUUUUUUUUGUAAUACAGUGGUUUUAUUGUGCUGUAUUUUUUUUUGUUACAAUCGUGUCCUUUUUUUGAUGUUUUUUAUGCUUUUCUUUUUCAAUUUUUUACCAGGCACUUGUUUGUGUAGCACCAAGCCUAUGCAACACACACAUCUGUACUUGUAUCUUAUUCUGUAUCUCGGUGUCAUAAACGUGGAUGGAUGUUUGUAACAUUGUACCAUGGACUGACUCAACUGCAACAAUAAAGACAUUGAGGUAUUCCAGU